GCCGGGCAAGGUGACGCAGGCUUGUAAUCCCAGCAGCUCGGGAGGCUGAGACAGGAGGCUUUCGAGUUCAAAGCCUGCCUCAGCAACAGCGAGGUGCCAAGCAACUCAGUGAGACCCUGUCUCUA
rnacentral:sRNA from 1 species